ACACUAAUGAACUCUAUGCAUGACAUCACAGAGGCUCCAUAAAUCAUCAGCAACAUGAAAACGGAAGGACUGUCCAAAGCCAGGCCAUAUUGCACUUGAUACUAUUGAAGGAAAAAGGUGUAUACAGAAAGCUGUGUCUACAUCCUGAGCAUCUGGGUGCCUAGUGGCCACAAUGAGGACAAAUAACAGAGGACUCAGGGAUACAGGAAUGAGAAGAGACUAAGGAACUAUCUCACAGAACACCUUCAAAGACCAGGAGACCCGAACUGCUGGACACAGGGCACACUACCCUUGAGCUGCCUUGCGGAAUCCUUUGGAGACUUUAGAGCAAUCAGAGUCAGGUCACUUUCUCUAAUAGAGGAAGAUGAGGCUUAUGCUGAGGACGUGUACUGAAAAUCUAUCUGCAAAUGACACAGUGACUCUGUGUUCAGCAAGUGUCACCAGGCAUGGGUGAUUAAAUCAGGGAAUUUAGGAAAAACC